AUGAAGCCCACUUUCUGUGCCAUGGCUGAAUACACAGACAUCCCUGAAAACGUCAAACUGUCUGCACUUGUCAGCAAACAAGCAUUUUCCCUCAGCACCGUCUGUGUUAGGGGGACUGUGCUUGGUAAAGGUCUUCGUGGGAUGCGGGCGGCUGAAGACCGUGAAGGAGAAGGCACCAGGCCGUUAACGUUUCCAAGGGGCGUCGAGGAAGUGCAACAUCUCUUUGUGAGAAACCACACUGUACUUACCCAGAUUUUGGGGUUUUCUUUUCCGGGGCUGUUAUGCUUUUUAUCUAGAUCGCCCCCCGAAGCCCCCAGCUCGCGGAGGGUUCAUCCACUCAUGGCUGUGAGGAAAAUGUGGUGUGAGGAGGGGCGUGGUCAGGCAGGGUCUUCCCUUCCCUCCUCCCGUGACCCCUCUCUGCUUCCCGAACCUUCCUGUGAGCCACGUGCCUCCUCCGCGCUCCUCCGCUGCUGUCAAUUCGAAUCACAACCAGCGUCGCCAUCUGCCUUACACCACCAAGUCCUCUCUGUCAGACCCCACAAGCACCUCCAGAAGUGACCAGGCAGACUGUACCGUGGCUCCAGCAGCACAGCAGUUGCUCACUGGGCUGGGAAGUGCUACUGUGAAAGGCACAGUAGAGCCAUCAAGGCCUCGGGUACAGCUCUCCCAGACCCCCAGUGUGAUCACCUUGCAGCAGAGGGCUGUCCCUGUGAGUGCAGAAUCUGAAACAGACCGCA
rnacentral:lncRNA from 1 species